rnacentral:rRNA from 1 species
UGGGGAAUUUUGGACAAUGGGGGAAACCCUGAUCCAGCCAUCCCGCGUGUGCGAUGAAGGCCUUCGGGUUGUAAAGCACUUUUGGCAGGAAAGAAACGUCAUGGGUUAAUACCCCGUGAAACUGACGGUACCUGCAGAAUAAGCACCGGCUAACUACGUGCCAGCAGCCGCGGUAAUACGUCGGGUGCAAGCGUUAAUCGGAAUUACUGGGCGUAAAGCGUGCGCAGGCGGUUCGGAAAGAAAGAUGUGAAAUCCCAGAGCUCAACUUUGGAACUGCAUUUUUAACUACCGGGCUAGAGUGUGUCAGAGGGAGGUGGAAUUCCGCGUGUAGCAGUGAAAUGCGUAGAUAUGCGGAGGAACACCGAUGGCGAAGGCAGCCUCCUGGGAUAACACUGACGCUCAUGCACGAAAGCGUGGGGAGCAAACAGG